rnacentral:rRNA from 1 species
GAGUUUGAUCCUGGCUCAGAAUCAACGCUGGCGGCGUGCCUCAGACAUGCAAGUCGAACGAUUAAACUCUCCUUCGGGAAAGAUAUAAAGUGGCGCACGGGUGAGUAACACGUAGGUAAUGUACCUUUGGGUGGGGAAUAACUUAGGGAAACUUAAGCUAAUACCGCAUAAUGCGAUAACUUCUUCGGAGGAUUUUGUUAAAGAUUUAUCGCCUGAAGAGCAGCCUGCGGCAGAUUAGCUAGUUGGUAAGGUAACGGCUUACCAAGGCUACGAUCUGUAUCCGACCUGAGAGGGUGGUCGGACACACUGACACUGAAUAACGGGUCAGACUCCUACGGGAGGCAGCAGUCGGGAAUUUUGGGCAAUGGGCGAAAGCCUGACCCAGCAACGCCGCGUGAAGGAUGAAGUCUCUCGGGAUGUAAACUUCGAAAGAAUAGGAAGAAUAAAUGACGGUACUAUUUAUAAGGUCCGGCUAACUACGUGCCAGCAGCCGCGGUAAUACGUAGGGACCAAGCGUUGUUCGGAUUUACUGGGCGUAAAGGGCGCGUAGGCGGCAAUUCAAGUCAGUUGUGAAAUCUCCGAGCUUAACUCGGAACGAUCAACUGAUACUGCUUUGCUAGAGUACAGAAGGG